rnacentral:rRNA from 1 species
AGUGAACGCUGGCGGUAGGCCUAACACAUGCAAGUCGAACGAGUGGCGGACGGGUGAGGAAUACAUCGGAAUCUACUCUGUCGUGGGGGAUAACGUAGGGAAACUUACGCUAAUACCGCAUACGAUUGAAUGAGCCGAUGUCGGAUUAGCUAGUUGGCGGGGUAAAGGCCCACCAAGGCGACGAUCCGUAGCUGGUCUGAGAGGAUGAUCAGCCAAAAUGGAACUGGGACACGGUCCAGACUCCUACGGGAGGCAGCAGUGGGGAAUCUUCCGCAAUGGACGGAAGUCUGACGGAGCAACGCCGCGUGAGUGAUGACGGCCUUCGGGUUGUAAAGCUCUGUUAGUCGGGACGCGGUACCGGAAUAGAAAGCCACGGCUAACUACGUGCCAGCAGCCGCGGUAAUAC